AGAUAUUAAAGAUCACCAUGAGGCUGCUGACCGUGUUUGUGUUUCUUUGUGUAAUGAUCCCUCUGAUCAUUACUGCUCGUGAGUAUUAAAGUAUAUUGUACAUAAUGUGUGUGUAUGUCUGUAUGUAUUCAUAAAAAUAACAGUACAAUAUAAUAAAUGGAAAUUUAACAAUCAAAGUCAAGAUCUGAUUUUCUAAUAUAAUUUUAACUUUUUAAUUUAAAUUUUUAUUCCAGAAAAUCGGGCAGCAGUGGGGCAGAGAAUAAUCCACAAGGUUGGUCAACAGUUUAAAAACUCACACUAAAAUAAUCACAGCUCUGUUUCGCUGAACGGAACAGCAACACAUCAAUGUGCUACAAAGUUUGUUGUACAAAUCUUGUGUUAUUUAAAUAUUAUGCAUUAUAAUGGAAAAUUAAAUCUAAAAUUAUAUGUUUAAUAUCAUAAAAUAUCCAAUUAAAUGUAUACAUUUGAAAAUUCAUUGUUGGGGCAGAGAAUAAUCCACAAGGUUGGUCAACAGUUUAAAAACUCACACUAAAAUAAUCACAGCUCUGUUUCGCUGAACGGAACAGCAACACAUCAAUGUGCUACAAAGUUUGUUGUACAAAUGUUGUGUUAUUUCAAUAUUAUGCAUUAUAAUGGAAAAUUAAAUCUAAAAUUAUGUGUUUAAUAUCGUAAAAUAUUCAAUUAAAUGUAUACAUUUGAAAAUUCAUUGUGUGUCCAUAGAAUAAAAAAAAGAAAGAACACCAUGCAAAUACAAAAAAUAUUACAAAAUGUUUUCACAGAUACAGAAAAUUCAUAAAUUUUUACUAUAGUGUAAUUUGCUUGUCUUCAGAAGAGCAAGCUGUUGACAAGAGGAUCCUGUGGUAUUGGCGCAAAACUUAUCGUUGCGUUAAAUGGCGAUGGGUAUGGAGAAAGCGAUGGGGGAAAGACGUGAACGAAUAAUAUAUAUACGCUCACCACUGAUACCGAUUUUGUCUGGCUCUGAAAAAGAAGAUGAUUCCUGGUCUUCCAUGAAAAUGGUCCAUCAGACAGAGAAGCAAAUACUUUCAUCCAACUCCCUGAACUAUCAGUUUCCCCUUUUACAUCUUUACUUAUUUUCUUUCGCUGUAUUGCUGCAUAAAGAAUGAAGCAACAAGUGACACAAACUGGAGUCGACCGGACUGUCUCUUUUAAUAACAAAAACUAUUCAUUUCUGUUCUUAUUAUCUUCAUCAUUAAACUCUUAAGCAUUAAAUGAAAUUGGUCUCUGA
ensembl:lncRNA